rnacentral:sRNA from 1 species
AGGCAAACCAGCCUUCGGGAACGGGUGGCAGGCUCGGCCGGGAUGGCCGCUCUGACUCAGGACAUCCGCGCGGCGCUCUCCCGCCAGAAGCUGGACCACGUGUGGACCGACACGCACUACGUGGGGCUGCAAUUCCCGGACCCGUGAGUGCGCACGCGGGCGGGGGCGCGCGGGGAGGGGGACGCGGCUCGGGGCGCUCACCAGCCCGGCUCCCCAGGGCUCACCCCAACACACUGCACUGGGUCGAUGAGGCCGGGAAGGUCGGAGAGCAGCUGCCGUUGGAGGACCCUGACGUCUACUGCCCCUACAGCGCCAUCGGCAACGUCACGGGAGAGCUGGUGUACGCCCACUACGGGCGGCCCGAAGACCUGCAGGACCUGCGGGCCGGGGGCGUGGACCCAGCGGGCCGCCUGCUGCUGGUGCGCGUGGGGAUGAUCAGCUUCGCCCAGAAGGUAAGUGUCCCUGGACAGAGGGAGGGCGUGAGCCCGGGAACCGGAGGGUCGGACUGCCAGUGAGAAUCGUUCAGGGUGCUGUGAGAGGGAGACAGGAAAGAAUCAUGUGGAUGGAAGGUAAGAAAAUAUAAGCUGGGCACGAUGGUUCUCACCUGCAAUUCCAGCACUUUAGGAGGCCAAGACAGGAGGAUCGCUUGAGGCCAGGAGUUCAAGGCAACACAGUGAGAACCCC